rnacentral:lncRNA from 1 species
CAUUACAGAUGCUCAAUUUUCUCCUUAUGUGGAUAAGAUGGCUUUCUCUCCUACUUCAUCCCCCGGAUACAGCCCGUCAUCCCCUGGUUACAGCCCGUCGUCCCCUGGUUACAGCCCGACCUCUCCAGGUUACAGCCCCACAUCCCCAGGUUACAGCCCCACGUCCCCGGGGUACAGCCCCACUUCCCCCACUUAUAGCCCCAGCUCUCCUGGCUACAGCCCGACAAGUCCGGCAUAUUCCCCAACCAGUCCAUCGUACUCUCCCACAUCACCCAGUUAUAGUCCAACAUCUCCGAGCUAUAGCCCUACAUCUCCUAGUUAUAGCCCAACAUCGCCUAGCUAUAGCCCUACUUCUCCUGCAUACAGCCCCACUUCGCCUGCCUACAGCCCCACUUCGCCUGCCUACAGCCCCACUUCUCCAUCUUACAGCCCCACUUCGCCAUCUUACAGCCCCACCUCACCUUCUUACAGCCCCACCUCGCCUUCAUAUAGCCCCACCUCACCAAGUUAUAGUCCAACUUCUCCAUCAUAUAGUCCCACUUCUCCUGCAUACAGUCCUACCUCCCCUGGUUACAGCCCAACAUCUCCCAGUUACAGCCCAACAUCACCAUCAUAUAGUCCUACAUCACCAAGUUACAAUCCCUCGGCUAGAUACAGCCCCUCCCUUGCAUAUUCGCCAACCAGUCCAAAGCUGUCUCCUUCUAGUCCAUACAGCCCGUCAUCUCCAAGUUACAGGUAAAUAAUCUUUAAUUUGACACAGGUGUUUUUAUUCUUUUGCCGAGGCAAGAAUUGUUCUUAAUUUGGCUAUGUUUGAUAAUAAUUCACGACUUUUGUAGCAUCUACCUAAUUAGGUUAUCUGUGGUUUUUGAGUCUGCUUCAUUAGAACUAAUUGGUUUCCACAGUCGUUGGUGUUUUGUAUUGGUGGAUUUCAGACUGGGAUCUAGAUAUAUUACUAAUGACGUGAUUAAAUACUGUCUUGUGUUGCAGUCCAACGUCACCUUCGUACUCUCCAACAUCUCCAUCAUAUUCUCCUUCAAGCCCAACCUAUAGUCCCAGCAGGUAAGUGAUGUGCGUGCGUUUCUGUAUUUUGAUUUACUGCCUGAAAUCUUGGUGGAAUGAGAUGGUCUUACCUUUUUUUUAGCUUUAGUACGUCCUUCGCUGCAUUUUGAAGUUAAUGAACACUAUUACC